AAUUAAUAAACGAAAAGGAAUGAUUAAGGGACGAUGAAAUAAUGAUCUUAUUUUUCAGCCAUGAUUCGAAUAUUCGAAAAAUGAUGAACCUGAAGAAUAGGAUUAGUCUGUCCUUUUUUAUAAUCAUACCCUUUUGCAUAAGUCUUUUUAGGCUUAUUUGGUGAUGAAUUUUUAUGACAGAUAACUCACUUCAGGUUCAUGAAGGGAGUUUUUUU
rnacentral:sRNA from 1 species